UACGGGAGGCAGCAGUGGGGAAUAUUGCACAAUGGGCGCAAGCCUGAUGCAGCCAUGCCGCGUGUAUGAAGAAGGCCUUCGGGUUGUAAAGUACUUUCAGUCGUGAGGAAGGUGUUAAGGUUAAUAACCUUAGCAAUUGACGUUAGCGACAGAAGAAGCACCGGCUAACUCCGUGCCAGCAGCCGCGGUAAUACGGAGGGUGCGAGCGUUAAUCGGAAUUACUGGGCGUAAAGGGCACGCAGGCGGUUAAUUAAGUUGGAUGUGAAAUCCCCGGGCUUAACCUGGGAAUGGCAUUCAAGCUGGUUAGCUAGAGUCUUGUAGAGGGGGUAGAAUUCCAUGUGUAGCGGUGAAAUGCGUAGAGAUGUGGAGGAAUACCGGUGGCGAAGGCGGCCCCUGGGACAAAGGACUGACGCUCAUGUGCGAAAGCGUGGGGAGCGAAACAGGGAUUUAGAUACC
rnacentral:rRNA from 1 species